rnacentral:rRNA from 1 species
AACUAGUACCAUACCAUCCUGAACAUAUUGGCUCUCAUCUGAGUUCAGAUGCCAAGUAGGGAUUACCUGGGUAGCACCUGGAUGGGAGACCACCAGGGAAUACCAAGGAUCAUCAGGUA